UACGAACUGUGCGAACGUUAUUCGGAAUCACUGGGCUUACAGGGUGCGUAGGCGGCUUGUCAAGUAGGGUGUGAAAGCCCCCGGCUCAACCGGGGAAUGGCGCCCUAAACUGGCGAGCUGGAGUGAGAUAGGGGUGUGUGGAACUUCCGGUGGAGCGGUGAAAUGUGUUGAUAUCGGAAGGAACGCCGGUGGCGAAAGCGACACACUGGAUCUUGUCUGACGCUGAGGCACGAAAGCCAGGGGAGCAAACAGG
rnacentral:rRNA from 1 species